rnacentral:rRNA from 1 species
UGGGGAAUUUUGCACAAUGGAGGAAACUCUGAUGCAGCGACGCCGCGUGAGUGAUGAAGAUCUUCGGAUUGUAAAACUCUGUCCUUAGUGAAGAUAAUGACAGUAACUAAGAAGCAAGCCCUGGCUAAAUACGUGCCAGCAGCCGCGGUAAUACGUAUGGGGCAAGCGUUGUCCGGAAUUAUUGGGCGUAAAGGGUACGUAGGCGGUUUAAUAAGUCCUAAUUAAAAGGCUAUGGCUCAACCAUAGUAUGGUUAGGAGACUGUUGAACUUGAGUAGAUGAGGGGAAAGUGGAAUUCCAUGUGUAGCGGUGAAAUGCGUAGAUAUAUGGAGGAACACCAAUGGCGAAGGCAACUUUCUGGAAUCAAACUGACGCUGAGGUACGAAGGCGUGGGGAGCAAACAGG